GACGAACGCUGGCGGCGUGCUUAACACAUGCAAGUCGAACGGAAAGGCCCUGCUUUUGUGGGGUGCUCGAGUGGCGAACGGGUGAGUAACACGUGAGUAACCUGCCCUUGACUUUGGGAUAACUUCAGGAAACUGGGGCUAAUACCGGAUAGGAGCUCCUGCUGCAUGGUGGGGGUUGGAAAGUUUCGGCGGUUGGGGAUGGACUCGCGGCUUAUCAGCUUGUUGGUGGGGUAGUGGCUUACCAAGGCUUUGACGGGUAGCCGGCCUGAGAGGGUGACCGGCCACAUUGGGACUGCGAUACGGCCCAGACUCCUACGGGAGGCAGCAGUGGGGAAUAUUGCACAAUGGGCGGAAGCCUGAUGCAGCAACGCCGCGUGUGGGAUGACGGCCUUCGGGUUGUAAACCGCUUUCGCCUGUGACGAAGCGUGAGUGACGGUAAUGGGUAAAGAAGCACCGGCUAACUACGUG
rnacentral:rRNA from 1 species